rnacentral:rRNA from 1 species
CCAGACUCCUACGGGAGGCAGCAGUGGGGAAUCUUCCGCAAUGGACGAAAGUCUGACGGAGCAACGCCGCGUGAGUGAUGACGGCCUUCGGGUUGUAAAGCUCUGUUAAUCGGGACGAAAGGCCUUCUUGCGAAUAGUGAGAAGGAUUGACGGUACCGGAAUAGAAAGCCACGGCUAACUACGUGCCAGCAGCCGCGGUAAUACGUAGGUGGCAAGCGUUGUCCGGAAUUAUUGGGCGUAAAGCGCGCGCAGGCGGAUAGGUCAGUCUGUCUUAAAAGUUCGGGGCUUAACCCCGUGAUGGGAUGGAAACUGCCAAUCUAGAGUAUCGGAGAGGAAAGUGGAAUUCCUAGUGUAGCGGUGAAAUGCGUAGAUAUUAGGAAGAACACCAGUGGCGAAGGCGACUUUCUGGACGAAAACUGACGCUGAGGCGCGAAAGCCAGGGGAGCGAACGGGAUUAGAUACCCCGGUAGUCCUGGCCGUAAACGAUGGGUACUAGGUGUAGGAGGUAUCGACCCCUUCUGUGCCGGAGUUAACGCAAUAAGUACCCCGCCUGGGGAGUACGACCGCAAGGUUGAAACUCAAAGGAAUUGACGGGGGCCCGCACAAG